GCCCCUGUGGCGGAACUGGUAGACGCGAUAGACUCAAAAUCUGUUGUCCGUGAGGGCGUGCCGGUUCGAGUCCGGCUGGGGGCACCA
rnacentral:tRNA from 1 species